GACGGAGGAUGCAAGCGUUAUCCGGAAUUAUUGGGCGUAAAGCGCGCGCAGGUGGUUUCUUAAGUCUGAUGUGAAAGCCCACGGCUCAACCGUAGAGGGUCAUUGGAAACUGGGAGACUUGAGUGCAGAAGAGGAAAGUGGAAUUCCAUGUGUAGCGGUGAAAUGCGUAGAGAUAUGGAGGAACACCAGUGGCGAAGGCGACUUUCUGGUCUGUAACUGACACUGAGGCGCGAAAGCGUGGGGAGCAAACAGG
rnacentral:rRNA from 1 species